AAAAAAGGUAAGCUACUAAGAGCGAAUGGUGGAUGCCUUGACUGGUAAAGGCGAUGAAGGACGUACUAGACUGCGAUAAGCUACGGGGAGCUGUCAAGAAGCUUUGAUCCGUAGAUUUCCGAAUGGGGCAACCCAAUGUAUAGAGAUAUACAUUACCUAUAUAGGAGCGAACGAGGGGAAUUGAAACAUCUUAGUACCCUCAGGAAAAGAAAUCAAUAGAGAUUGCGUCAGUAGCGGCGAGCGAAAGCGCAAGAGGGCAAACCCAGUGCUUGCACUGGGGGUUGUAGGACUGCAAUGUGCAAGAGGUGAGUUUAGCAGAACAUUCUGGAAAGUAUAGCCAUAGAGGGUGAUAGUCCCGUAUGCGAAAAACAAACCUUAGCUAGCAGUAUCCUGAGUAGGGCGGGACACGAGAAAUCCUGUCUGAAGCUGGGUCGACCACGAUCCAACCCUAAAUACUAAUACCAGAUCGAUAGUGCACAAGUACCGUGAGGGAAAGGUGAAAAGAACUGAGGUGAUCAGAGUGAAAUAGAACCUGAAACCAUUUGCUUACAAUCAUUCAGAGCCCUAUGUAGCAAUACAGGGUGAUGGACUGCCUUUUGCAUAAUGAGCCUGCGAGUUGUGGUGUCUGGCAAGGUUAAGCAAACGCGAAGCCGUAGCGAAAGCGAGUCUGAAUAGGGCGCUUAGUCAGAUGCUGCAGACCCGAAACGAAGUGAUCUAUCCAUGAGCAAGUUGAAGCUAGUGUAAGAACUAGUGGAGGACUGAACCCAUAGGCGUUGAAAAGCCCCGGGAUGACUUGUGGAUAGGGGUGAAAGGCCAAUCAAACUUCGUGAUAGCUGGUUCUCUCCGAAAUAUAUUUAGGUAUAGCGUUGUGUCGUAAUAUAAGGGGGUAGAGCACUGAAUGGGCUAGGGCAUACACCAAUGUACCAAACCCUAUCAAACUCCGAAUACCUUAUAUGUAAUCACAGCAGUCAGGCGGCGAGUGAUAAAAUCCGUCGUCAAGAGGGAAACAACCCAGACUACCAGCUAAGGUCCCUAAAUCUUACUUAAGUGGAAAACGAUGUGAAGUUACUUAAACAACCAGGAGGUUGGCUUAGAAGCAGCCAUCCUUUAAAGAAAGCGUAAUAGCUCACUGGUCUAGUGAUUUUGCGCGGAAAAUAUAACGGGGCUAAAGUAAGUACCGAAGCUGUAGACUUGCGCACAACUUAGAUUAUUUAAGUUUAGAAUAUGAGAAACUAAGUUAUAUGUUUAGUUAUAUUUUUACUGAUUUUUAUAGAGUAAAGAUAGAAAUAAAACUUAGUAAAAUCAGUAAAAAUAUUCUUAGACUAAAGUUAAGUAGUUUAAGUUGUGUGCAAGUGGUAGGAGAGCGUUCUAUUUGCGUCGAAGGUAUACCGGUAAGGAGUGCUGGAGCGAAUAGAAGUGAGCAUGCAGGCAUGAGUAGCGAUAAUUAAUGUGAGAAUCAUUAACGCCGUAAACCCAAGGUUUCCUACGCGAUGCUCGUCAUCGUAGGGUUAGUCGGGUCCUAAGUCGAGUCCGAAAGGGGUAGACGAUGGCAAAUUGGUUAAUAUUCCAAUACCAACAUUAGUGUGCGAUGGAAGGACGCUUAGGGCUAAGGGGGCUAGCGGAUGGAAGUGCUAGUCUAAGGUCGUAGGAGGUUAUACAGGCAAAUCCGUAUAACAAUACUCCGAGAACUGAAAGGCUUUUUGAAGUCUUCGGAUGGAUAGAAGAACCCCUGAUGCCGUCGAGCCAAGAAAAGUUUCUAAGUUUAGCUAAUGUUGCCCGUACCGUAAACCGACACAGGUGGGUGGGAUGAGUAUUCUAAGGCGCGUGGAAGAACUCUCUUUAAGGAACUCUGCAAAAUAGCACCGUAUCUUCGGUAUAAGGUGUGGUUAGCUUCGUACUAGGAUUUACUCCGAAAGCGAAGAAACUUACAACAAAGAGUCCCUCCCGACUGUUUACCAAAAACACAGCACUCUGCUAACUCGUAAGAGGAUGUAUAGGGUGUGACGCCUGCCCGGUGCUCGAAGGUUAAUUGAUGGGGUUAGCAUUAGCGAAGCUCUUGAUCGAAGCCCGAGUAAACGGCGGCCGUAACUAUAACGGUCCUAAGGUAGCGAAAUUCCUUGUCGGUUAAAUACCGACCUGCAUGAAUGGCGUAACGAGAUGGGAGCUGUCUCAAAGAGGGAUCCAGUGAAAUUGUAGUGGAGGUGAAAAUUCCUCCUACCCGCGGCAAGACGGAAAGACCCCGUGGACCUUUACUACAGCUUGACACUGCUAUUUGGAUAAGAAUGUGCAGGAUAGGUGGGAGGCUUUGAGUAUAUGACGCCAGUUGUAUAGGAGCCAUUGUUGAGAUACCACUCUUUCUUAUUUGGGUAGCUAACCAGCUUGAGUUAUCCUCAAGUGGGACAAUGUCUGGUGGGUAGUUUGACUGGGGCGGUCGCCUCCCAAAUAAUAACGGAGGCUUACAAAGGUUGGCU
rnacentral:rRNA from 1 species